UUAACUUAGUGGCGGACGGGUGAGUAACGCGUGGAUAACCUAGCCUCACACAGGGGGAGUAGCAGCUGGAAACGGCGUGGUAAUACCGCAUAAGACCACGGUGCCGCAUGGCACAGGGUAAAGAUUAUCGGUGUGAGAUGGAUCCGCGUCUGAUUAGCCAGUUGGCGGGGUAACGGCCCACCAAAGCGACGAUCAGUAGCCGGCCUGAGAGGGUGAACGGCCACAUUGGGACUGAGACACGGCCCAAACUCCUACGGGAGGCAGCAGUGGGGAAUAUUGCACAAUGGGCGCAAGCCUGAUGCAGCAACGCCGCCGUGAGUGAAGAAGUAUUUCGGUAUGUAAAGCUCUAUCGGCAGGGAAGAAAGGCCCGCAAGGGAGAUGACGGUACCUGACUAAGAAGCCCCGGCUAACUACGUGCCAGCCGCUGC
rnacentral:rRNA from 1 species